UAUGGGGGGAACUCGGCAUGCUUUAAACGUGCAAAACGAACGGAAACAGGACGCUGUGAUCCCCUCGGGGUGAACUUGUCGCUGUCGAGUGGCGGACGGGUGAGUAAUGCUUAGGAAUCUGCCCAGUAGUGGGGGACAACAGUUGGAAACGACUGCUAAUACCGCAUACGCCCUUCGGGGGAAAGCGGGGGACCUUCGGGCCUCGCGCUAUUGGAUGAGCCUAAGUCGGAUUAGCUUGUUGGUGGGGUAAAGGCCUACCAAGGCGACGAUCCGUAGCUGGUCUGAGAGGAUGAUCAGCCACACUGGGACUGAGACACGGCCCAGACUCCUACGGGAGGCAGCAGUCGGGAAUAUUGGACAAUGGGCGCAAGCCUGAUCCAGCAAUGCCGCGUGUGUGAAGAAGGCCUGAGGGUUGUAAAGCACU
rnacentral:rRNA from 1 species